rnacentral:rRNA from 1 species
ACUCCUACGGGAGGCAGCGAGUGAGGAAUAUUGCGCAAUGGGCGAAAGCCUGACGCAGCGACGCCGCGUGGAGGAUGAAAGGCCCUCGGGUUGUAAAACUCCUGUCAGUUGGGAAGAGAAUGGGACGGUACCAACUGAGGAAGCUUCGGCUAACUACGUGCCAGCAGCCGCGGUAAGACGUAGGGAGCAAGCGUUGUCCGGAAUUACUGGGCGUAAAGAGGCUCGUAGGCGGGAUCGUAAGUCUUAAAGGGAAUCUCAUGGCUCAACUGUGGGGCUUUUUUGAGAUACUGCGAUUCUUGAGGAUGUCAGAGGAAAGUGGAAUUCCCGGUGUAGCGGUGAAAUGCGGUAGAUAUCGGGAGGAACACCAGUGGCGAAGGCGGCUUUCUGGGACAUUCCUGACGCUGAGGAGCGAAAGCGUGGGGAGCAAACGGGGAUUAGAUACCCUGGUAGGCUCUGGC